rnacentral:rRNA from 1 species
AUUGAACGCUGGCGGAAUGCUUUACACAUGCAAGUCGAACGGUAGAGGGGGCAACCCCUUGAGAGUGGCGAACGGGUGAGUAAUAUAUCGGAACGUGCCCAGUCGUGGGGAUAACGUAGCGAAAGUUACGCUAAUACCGCAUACGAUCUAAGGAUGAAAGCGGGGGACUCGCAAGAGCCUCGCGCGAUUGGAGCGGCCGAUAUCAGAUUAGGUAGUUGGUGGGGUAAAGGCUCACCAAGCCAACGAUCUGUAGCUGGUCUGAGAGGACGACCAGCCACACUGGAACUGAGACACGGUCCAGACUCCUACGGGAGGCAGCAGUGGGGAAUUUUGGACAAUGGGCGCAAGCCUGAUCCAGCAAUGCCGCGUGCAGGAUGAAGGCCUCGGUUGGUAAC